rnacentral:rRNA from 1 species
GAUGAACGCUGGCGGCGUGCCUAAUACAUGCAAGUCGAGCGAACGGACGAGAAGCUUGCUUCUCUGACGUUAGCGGCGGACGGGUGAGUAACACGUGGAUAACCUACCUAUAAGACUGGGAUAACUUCGGGAAACCGGAGCUAAUACCGGAUAAUAUUUUGAACCGCAUGGUUCAAAAGUGAAAGACGGUCUUGCUGUCACUUAUAGAUGGAUCCGCGCUGCAUUAGCUAGUUGGUAAGGUAACGGCUUGCCAAGGCAACGAUGCAUAGCCGACCUGAGAGGGUGAUCGGCCACACUGGAACUGAGACACGGUCCAGACUCCUACGGGAGGCAGCAGUAGGGAAUCUUCCGCAAUGGGCGAAAGCCUGACGGAGCAACGCCGCGUGAGUGAUGAAGGUCUUCGGAUCGUAAAACUCUGUUAUUAGGGAAGAACAUAUGUGUAAGUAACUGUGCACAUCUUGACGGUACCUAAUCAGAAAGCCACGGCUAACUACGUG